GCCCUCCCUCGUCUCUCUCCUUCAAUCACAGGCGAUGUUAUAACCCAGAACAGGCUAGGAGUCACUGACUGGUUUAGCGAGGUGCCAAUCACCGCACCUCAGUUUUGGCUGUUGUAAGCUAGCCAAUGCCUAGCCAGCAAUGUUUUGAUGGAUGGAAGUGUUAGCCAAUCACAAGGACGUUUACAGUGAUUCACAGUUUGCACCGUUUCGUAAUCAGUUUGAAGAUUCAGCGAGCGCAAAAGUUGUUGUGUGUUCGUGCGCUCUCGUCUUUACGCCCGCGGCGCACUCAGAGCGGCGCAGCAGCGCUACACGGGUAUCUAUCAGCGAGCGGAUGUUCUCCAAAGCUUACAUCUGAAUCUCUCCAGCAAAGAACGUCGACUUUAGAAGAGUUUUUGUGGUGUUUGAUCGUGUUUUGGAGGCCGUGAUGAGAAGCAGCGGCAGCAGCAGAAAGACCCGGAGAGAUGCAUGCAGCCAGGGAUAGCAUUAGCACUGACUUUGGUGUGCAGUUGGUCAAAGAACAAACCUUUUUAGUGACUGCCUUGAGUGUCUUCCUACACUGUAAAUACUGUAAAUAGUUGCUUUUAGUUUUUCAGUAACUUGAUAUUCAUAAUAAUUAGCAGA